rnacentral:lncRNA from 1 species
UGGGGCGGGGCAGGGGCGCUCCCAGCCCCACCCCGGGAUCUGGUGACGCUGGGGCUGGAAUUUGACACCGGACGGCUGCGGCGGCGGGCAGGAGGCUGCUGAGGGAUGGAGUUGGGCCCGGCCCCCAGACAAGGCCCGGGGGCUCCGCCAGCAGCAGGUCCCUCGGGCCCCAGCCCUCGCUGCCACCCGGGCCUGGAGCCCCACACCCGAGCUGCCUCAACAGGAGGGUGGGGGAACAGCUCAACAAUGGCUGAUGGGCGCUCCUGGUGUUGAUAGAGAUGGAACUUGGACUUGGAGGCCUCUCCACGCUGUCCCACUGCCCCUGGCCUAGGCAGCAGCCUGCCCUGUGGCCCACCCUGGCCGCUCUGGCUCUGCUGAGCAGCGUCGCAGAGGCCUCCCUGGGCUCCGCGCCCCGCAGCCCUGCCCCCCGCGAAGGCCCCCCGCCUGUCCUGGCGUCCCCCGCCGGCCACCUGCCGG